rnacentral:rRNA from 1 species
GAUGAACGCUGGCGGCGUGCCUAAUACAUGCCAGUCGAGCGAACAGACGAGGAGCUUGCUCCUCUGACGUUAGCGGCGGACGGGUGAGUAACACGUGGAUAACCUACCUAUAAGACUGGGAUAACUUCGGGAAACCGGAGCUAAUACCGGAUAAUAUAUUGAACCGCAUGGUUCAAUAGUGAAAGACGGUUUUGCUGUCACUUAUAGAUGGAUCCGCGCCGCAUUAGCUAGUUGGUAAGGUAACGGCUUACCAAGGCGACGAUGCGUAGCCGACCUGAGAGGGUGAUCGGCCACACUGGAACUGAGACACGGUCCAGACUCCUACGGGAGGCAGUAGUAGGGAAUCUUCCGCAAUGGGCGAAAGCCUGACGGAGCAACGCCGCGUGAGUGAUGAAGGUCUUCGGAUCGUAAAACUCUGUUAUUAGGGAAGAACAAAUGUGUAAGUAACUAUGCACGUCUUGACGGUACCUAAUCAGAAAGCCACGGCUAACUACGUG